AAGUCGUAACAAGGUCUCCGUUGGUGAACCAGCGGAGGGAUCAUUAAAGAGUUUAAAAACUCCCAACCCCUGUUUAUCCCCCUGUUAGUCGUUGCUUCGGCGGUCAGGCGAGGCGGGUCUACCCUGGUAGGCCCCCGAGCCCUCCGCCGGAUGUACCAAAACUUAACUGUAUUUUAUAUUGCAUCUUCUGAGCUUCUAAAGCAAAAAUAAGUCAAAACUUUCAACAACGGAUCUCUUGGUUCUG
rnacentral:misc_RNA from 1 species